UACGAAGGGGGCAAGCGUUGUUCGGAAUUAUUGGGCGUAAAGCGCGCGCAGGCGGUCCUUUAAGUCUGAUGUGAAAGCCCACGGCUCAACCGUGGAGGGUCAUUGGAAACUGGGGGACUUGAGUACAGAAGAGAAGAGUGGAAUUCCACGUGUAGCGGUGAAAUGCGUAGAGAUGUGGAGGAACACCAGUGGCGAAGGCGACUCUUUGGUCUGUAACUGACGCUGAGGCGCGAAAGCGUGGGGAGCAAACAGG
rnacentral:rRNA from 1 species